rnacentral:rRNA from 1 species
GACGAACGCUGGCGGCGUGCUUAACACAUGCAAGUCGAGCGAUGAAGCACCUUCGGGUGUGAAUUAGCGGCGAACGGGUGAGGAACACGUGAAGAAUCUGCCUUCAACUCUGGGAUAACUCCGGGAAACCGGGGCUAAUACCGGAUAUGAGCCUUGAUCGCAUGAUCGGGGCUGGAAAGUUUUUCGGUUGAAGAUGGCUUCGCGGCCUAUCAGCUUGUUGGUGAGGUAAUGGCUCAUCAAGGCGACGACGAGUAGCCGGGCUGAGAGGGCGACCGGCCAAACUGGGACUGCGACACGGCCGAGACUCGUACGGGAGGCAGCAGUGGGGAGUAUUGGGCAAUGGAGGCAACUCUGACCCAGCGACGCCGCGUGAGGGAUGAAGGCCUUCGGGUUGUAAAGCUCUUUUACCCGGGACGAUAAUGACUGUACCGGGAGAAUAAGCCCCGGCUAACUUCGUGCCAGCCGCCGCAGUAA